CGGUUCAGCCCAAAAUGGCCGGGCCGGUCCAUUUCCCCCUUUUUUUUCUUUUAGCCUUUUCUUUUUCCCCUUUUUCUCAUUUCUUUGAUAUCUUUUGAUUUUGAACUCCAAAUCGGUCCAAAUAAAAUCCAGAAAAUUUGGAAAAUCAUCUUUUGUCAUGAUUCAACUUUUGGGAGUAGUUUCCCCUCUAAAUAAAAUACACAAAAAUACAUUUUCCCUAUAAAUGCCUUUAGGGCUAUAUAACUAUUUAAAUAAAAUAGUUUUUCAACUCCAAAUAAUUAUCAAAAAAAUCAUGGGAUAGCUCAUAUAUGCAAUAAACCCCUUUUAUAGAUAAAUCUUAUUGGUUUGAAGAAUCAAAACUUAAAUGGGUGUAAACCCUAGGGUUUUAAAUUGAAACAAAGUCUUUUAAAGCCUUUUGAGAUUCAAAUUUGAAUUCAAAUAUGCAAUUGUGGCAUGAUGCUCAUGGUUGCAAUGCACAUGUAAAAGUUUGAAAUUUUGGGAUGUUACACACAAGCAUAUCAAUCAAAAAACAAUCCUUUAUUAAAAUUUCUUUCGAAGACUCAUUGUUGGCCCACGGCCUAAAUAAAAAGGAAAAUAAAAAAAUAAAAAAAUAAAAGAAAAGAAGAACCAACGGUCUACGUCGCCAUACAAUAAAAGUUCUGUAUGGUCAACGACUAACACGUACUCGUAUUUUAUUAUAUGGUAAG
rnacentral:lncRNA from 1 species